UAUAGCAGCAAUGUCCCAACAUCUAGUGGAAAGCCUUCCCAGAAGAGUGGAGGCUGUUAUAGCAGCAAAUACCCAUGAUUCUGGAAUGAGAUGUUCGACGAGCAGAUGUCCACAUACAUUUGGUCAUUAAGUGUAGGUUAUAGCAAUUUGUCAGUCCAUCACACAAACACUGAUUGUUGCCUCGCCUUAGCUAUGGAACGCGCCUCGAGUUUCAUCAGGCUUCUUGCCACGUUUAAAAGAACUGGGGACUUGAAAUUAGGGAAACAUUUUUGAACGGUCAUUUAACUCGUAUAUUUAGCUCGGACAUUCUGACCUGAAGAUCACGGACGCCCUGAUUUAACCUUUUAUUCCCGAGUUCCCAGUUGUCUGGAAAGCACCAUUAUACCCAUAUCUAGCGAUGACUUCACUGGUGACGCCAUUACCCGUAUCCAGUGAUGACGUCAUUACCUGUAUCCAGUGGUGACGUCAUUACCCGUAUCCAGUGGUGAUGUCAUUACCCGUAUCCAGUGGUGACGCCAUUACCCGUAUCCAGUGGUGACGCCAUUACCCGUAUCCAGUGGUGACGCCAUUACCCGUAUCCAGUGGUGACGCCAUUACCCGUAUCCAGUGGUGACGCCAUUACCCGUAUCCAGUGGUGACGCCAUUACCCGUAUCCAGUGGUGACGCCAUUACCCGUAUCCAGUGGUGACGCCAUUACCCGUAUCCAGUGGUGACGCCAUUACCCGUAUCCAGUGGUGACGCCAUUACCCGUAUCCAGUGGUGACGCCAUUACCCGUAUCCAGUGGUGACGCCAUUACCCGUAUCCAGUGGUGACGCCAUUACCCGUAUCCAGUGGUGACGCCAUUGCCCGUAUCUAGUGACGACGUCAUUGCCCGUAUCUAGUGACGACGUCAUUACCGGUAUCCAGUGAUGACGUCAUUAUCGGUAUCUAGUGAUGACUUCACUUCCCAGUGUUUGUUUAUCAAUGGGCGGAUUUGAUUAUGCUAAGCCACGUGGCACCAGUCUAUGGUCCUCUUUCACCGCGAAUGAAGCACCCUUCUCAAAUCCAACAGUAAUCUGCAAAUCCAACAAUAAUCUACAAAUCCAACAGUAAUCUACGAAUCCAACAGUAAUCGAUGAAUCCAACAGUAAUCUACGAAUCCAACAGUAAUCUACGUAGCUCUGUGAUUUUUGUCAACAAGGCAUUAUGGUGUAUCAGACAUCUCUUUUCCAUAAAGUAUUUUUUUGUUCAUUGGGAAGACAAAGUGUUUUAUUUUCAAUCAAAAGCAAUCCCUUUUGCCUGUGAAACCACAGAAUCCUAGUAAUUACAGCACGUGCUUAAUUACAUCACUUUUGUUUUGAGCAGAUGUCGCCUGUGGUUUUAAACAAUAAGGGUCUUGUCCGUUUGAACGUCUGGGAGACCAGGUAGGGUCUAGUCCAUCUGAACGUCUGGGAGACCAGGUAGGGUCUAGUCCAUCUGAACGUCUGGGAGACCAGGUAGGGUCUAGUCCAUCUGAACGUCUGGGAGACCAGGUAGGGUCUAGUCCAUCUGAACGUCUGGGAGACCAGGUAGGGUCUAGUCCAUCCGAAGACUUCCUAUGUAGUGCACUACUUUAGCUCUAUGAGGCACCCUAUGUGUCUGGAAGUUGGGUAUAGAAAGGGAUUUGAGGUCCAUUGGACCCUCUCUACUAAUGAUCCUGGUCAUCAAGUCUCCUCCAUCACUGCUAACGACUCUGGAUGAAACCGUUAAUCUGUGACUCUGUCUGUCCAGAGCUCUUUAUUGUAAUUUACAGCUGUGAGUUUGUCUGUCAUGUGACGCGGCUGCAGAGCACCUGAUUAUUAUGAUGAUGAUGUAAAGAAACAAAGGUCCAACUUAAUAAAAUGUUUGUUUAACCUUUUUA